GAUGAACGCUGGCGGCGUGCCUAAUGCAUGUAAGUCGCACGCAGGGCCCUUCGGGGCACUGAGUGGCGGACGGCUGAGGAACACGUGGGUGACCUGCCCUGGCGUGGGGGAUAACGGGCCGAAAGGUCCGCUAAACCCGCAUACGUUCCCCCUUGGGGGAAGAAAGCGGUAACGUGCGCUGGGAGGGGCCUGCGGCCCAUCAGGUAGUUGGUGUGGUAACGGCGCACCAAGCCGAUGACGGGUCCCUGAUCUGAGAGGACGAUCAGGCAGACUGGGACUGAGACACGGCCCAGACUCCUACGGGAGGCAGCAGCAAGGAAUUUUCCACAAUGGGCGCAAGCCUGAUGGAGCAACGCCGCGUGGAGGAUGACGGCCUUCGGGUUGUAAACUCCUUUUGUAGGGGAAGACAAGGACGGUACCCUACGAAGAAGCCCCGGCUAACUCCGUGCCAGCAGCCGCCGUAAAAC
rnacentral:rRNA from 1 species